GAGAGGAAUGAGAGUGAAAACUUAAGGUAGGGGAUGAAAGGAGUAGACAAGGUGUCACUUUCUCAUAGCACGAGACCAAGAAGAGUCAAAUUCCAUAUGAUUCCACGUGCUUCAUGUUCUAAUGUUCCACAAUGAUUCUGACUUGGCAUUUACAUCUCCUGUUCUUGUGCUCGACAAGGCUUGUAUUAUAAGUUCCAAGAAAACAUGGUAAAUUAUUCGGUUUUGUUUGUGUCUUAAAAUGAUUCCUUUGUUCUAAGACACUCUGCCUGCGUGCCUGGGAUACUCACCAACCCCACUGUCACUCACUCACUCACACACAGAACCAUAUAUAAUCAUAGUUUUAUUUUUUCUUCUUUUUAGCUUGAAGGGUUAACUUUUCUUUUUGGGUGUUAUCCCUCUUUUGGGACCCCAAAAGUCAAUCUUUUUAGUGGUCCUUUCUUCUAAUCCUAAAGCAUGCAUAUACAACAUAUCCAUCAUAUAUAGAAAUUAACAGAAAAAUGGCCUAAUGGGUCCCUUAAACAGUUAUCUAGUGUGCUCCAAUUAUUAAGGCAGCACCUAGUGUUCAUUGUGUAGUGGAAAGAAUUAUAUAGUCAAUCACAAUCAAAGGCUGCUUAAGAAAAGAUAAAAAAAGAACAGUUGUUGGAGUUCACUGUGGCAGCUCCUGUGGGUUGGUUACAUUUGUAUAGUCUUUCAGACAACUUUUCUUUUCUCUUUUUAUCUUAUUUUGCCAAUUAAUUAACAAUGUAACCUCACAUUUCUUGAGUUCUUGCUGGCAACCAAUUACGAUGGAGGAAAGUGAUAUAAUCCAUAUUAUAUAAAGCUAUAAAAGAUCGAAAAGGAAUGAAUUGUGUUACUGAAUCAGGCAGCUCAUAAAGCGACAACCAAGUCCAUAUCAAACUGCUAAAUAAUUGCAAUAACAAAAUUAAUUGUGAUGUUACUUAUCCAAAGUUGGAUUAACCUCUCUAUUUCACACUCUAAUUUCUGGUUGGAUCACCACGUAUUUUCACAUUCUUUAUUCACAGAUUUUUUCUUACUCGCUACAAUUUGAUUUUGGCUUCUACGAGCUACAUAGAAUUUUGUUAGAGCAGGAUACAUUAUUGUUGUUGUUUACGUUCUCCACGUCCUUAGCCCUUCUGACGAUUUGAAUGAAACCAAAGCACUUAAUUCUUCAUUAUUGCUUUCCUCUUACUAUUUCACCAAACCAUAAACCAACCCACCUUCUCCUUAAAAAAAAUAUAUAAAAUACUUAAAAUUAAAAAAAAAAAGAGAGAGAAAGAAUCAGCAGUCCACAAACACACACAUUCUCUUUCACUAGAAGAUAAAAACCAACAGUGAGAAAAAUCAAGAACAAAAACGCGUAAUGUAUAGUAAUAAUUAAAACAACCGAUGUCUAUUAUGAAAUGAGCAAAAUUAAAGUCAAGUUUACACGUUAGAUGGUUGACUUAAAUUUUUGAAAUGAAUAAUAAUAAUAGUAAUUCCAAGAACUAAAACAAGCAACUACCGCAGUACAGCGAAUGACGUUAUCUGAAAAUAAAAAUCAUUUAACACAUUAAUUAAACUAAAAAAUAAAAAAGAAAUGGUAGUGUAGGACAACUUGAAGGAACCGACACACACGUAUACACGAGAAAUAUUAAGUUGAAAAGGUAGAAAAUAUUGAGAAAAUAAAAAUAGAUAGAUUCGAUAAUUCUAAAUAUAUAUGCAUGAAUAAAAAAGGAAAAGGAAAAUUUGGUUUGGACACGGUAACAGUGUUCUCUCACCAAAGAGGUCGCAUUCUGGAGUCGCCAGUUUUCAACUCACAACAACCUUCUUUUUAAACGAUGGAUUGAUCCAUUUGAGAUGCAUUCACUCUCACUCACGCGCCUUCGCUGUGUUUCCUUGUUUUCUUUCUCUCGUUCCGUGGGAACCGCUUCCUUGUCUCCUUCUUCAAUUUCUCCCUUUCUUGCAAUUUCAGUCUUAUAAUAACAAUGACUCUGUAUUAUUCCUAACCUAAAUUAAACCUAGUCUUCUGUUCUGUUCCGUUGCAUUUCACUGUUCUCCAAAAACAACCAUGCCGUUUCCCUGGAAGAAGAACCGCGUCCCUCGAAUCUCCCAAAUCGUCGCGGAUCUCCAAUCGCCAAAACGAGGCGGCUCCCUCGUCGUCGAGACCGGCUUCCCCACCUCCCUCAUCGACCUCUUCGUAAAAAACCGAAGCCGUUUUAGAAAACACCGCACAAAAAAACCGCCACCGCCCGAAGUCCCCGAUCCGCCGCCGCCGCCUCCCUCUCCGGCCAACUCUCCGCCGCCGCCGCCGUCGCAACCCGAUCCUCGUCUCCCGAACCCUCGGACUGAACAGAACGUCGUCGCUUCGGUUUCGGAUCAGGUCGGGGAGUGCUCUUUGAACGUUAUUUUAGUUGUGAAGAUUCUGAUGGUGCUGAUUGUGGUCGCGAGCGUGAAGAGGCUCACCGUGGGAAUCACCGUGUCGACGUUCGCGCUUCUGCUUCUAGAAUACGCGGGGCGGCGCGUGGUUUCGGGUUCCGUUGUGGAAUCGUGGUUCCGGAAGGUUCGGGUUCUGAAGAAGGAGCGUGUUCGGGGGAGUGGAUUAACUGACUUGAGUCAAUUGACCUUUUCCGAGAGUUUUUUAAUUGAUGAAAUUGAGGUUGUGAGUGAUGUGGGGAUUUGUUGUCAAAUGCGUUCUGUCAGUGGUGACGUGGCAUCAGAAAUAGUUGAGGAUUGUUCUUCAGAUGUUCUUGAAGUUUCUGAAUACAAGAUUAAAGGGAGUAGAAGUGGUAGGUUUGGGUCGAGGAUGGUGAAGAAGCUUGUGCCUAAGAAGUUUCGUGCCCCCAGGAAAGAAAAAAAGGAUAAGGGGAAUAAGGAAAUUGAGUAUGAAUCGGGUAGUGAAGUUUCCAGCGCCGUGGAAGAUGAUAAGUUACCCAUGUUAGAAAUUGAAGAGGAAGAUAAGAGCGAGAAUACUGAACAAGCUGAGGUUGAUUGUGGCAUCACUUGUUCCUAUAAUGGAAAGAGAGUGGCCAGAGUUGGGAAUUCAGGUUCUUCCACGGUUAUGGUUCUAGUUAUGAUUGUCCUUGUUGGACUUCUUCUGGGUCGUUUCCCAGCUUUGAUGCUUUCAAUUUCAUGGUGUUGCACGAUGAAAAUAGUUAGAACAUUACGGAGAUCACUCAGAGUGUCUCUGAAGAAGUGCUCUGUUUCAAACUCUUGA
rnacentral:lncRNA from 1 species